GACGAACGCUGGCGGCGUGCUUAAUACAUGCAAGUCGAACGGAAAGGCCCUGCUUUUGUGGGGUGCUCGAGUGGCGAACGGGUGAGUAACACGUGAGUAACCUGCCCUUGACUUUGGGAUAACUUCAGGAAACUGGGGCUAAUACCGGAUAGGAGCUCCUGCUGCAUGGGGGGGGUUGGAAAGUUUCGGCGGUUGGGGAUGGACUCGCGGCUUAUCAGCCUGUUGGUGGGGUAGUGGCUUACCAAGGCUUUGACGGGUAGCCGGCCUGAGAGGGUGACCGGCCACAGUGGGACUGAGAUACGGCCCAGACUACUACGGGAGGCAGCAGUGGGGAAUAUUGCACAAUGGGCGGAAGCCUGAUGCAGCAACGCCGCGUGCGGGAUGACGGCCUUCGGGUUGUAAACCGCUUUCGCCUGUGACGAAGCGUGAGUGACGGUAAUGGGUAAAGAAGCACCGGCUAACUACGUG
rnacentral:rRNA from 1 species